rnacentral:rRNA from 1 species
GUUACUGCUAUCGGUGUUCGACUAAGCCAUGCGAGUCAAAUGUUCUUCGUGAACAUGGCGGACUGCUCAGUAACACGUGGAUAACCUGCCCUUAGGUUUGGCAUAACUCCGGGAAACUGGAGAUAAUUCCGAAUAGGUCAAAUAUGCUGGAAUGCUUUUUGGCCAAAAGACUUCGGUUGCCUAAGGAUGGAUCUGCGGUCUAUCAGGUUGUAGUGGGUGUAACGUACCUACUAGCCUACGACGGAUAUGGGUUGUGAGAGCAAGAGCCCAGAGAUGGAUUCUGAGACAUGAAUCCAGGCCCUACGGGGCGCAGCAGGCGCGAAAACUUUACAAUGCGGGAAACCGCGAUAAGGGGACACCGAGUGCCAGCAUUUAUGUUGGCUGUCCACAUGUGUAAACGGCAUGUGUUAGCAAGGGCCGGGCAAGACCGGUGCCAGCCGCCGCGGUAACACCGGCGGCCCGAGUGGUAAUCACUUUUAUUGGGUCUAAAGGGUCCGUAGCCGGUUUGAUCAGUUCUUCGGGAAAUCUGACAGCUCAACUGUUAGGCUUCCGGGGAAUACUGUCAGACUUGGGACCGGGAGAGGUAAGAGGUACUACAGGGGUAGGAGUGAAAUCUUGUAAUCCCUGUGGGACCACCAGUGGCGAAGGCGUCUUACCAGAACGGGUCCGACGGUGAGGGACGAAAGCUGGGGGCACGAACCGGAUUAGAUACCCGGGUAGUCCCAGCCGUAAACGAUGUUCGCUAGGUGUCAGGGGCGGUGCGACCGCUUCUGGUGCCGUAGGGAAGCCGUGAAGCGAACCACCUGGGAAGUACGGCCGCAAGGCUGAAACUUAAAGGAAUUGGCGGGGGAGCACUACAACGGGUGGAGCCUGCGGUUUAAUUGGACUCAACGCCGGAAAACUCACCGGGGGCGACAGCAAAAUGUAGGUCAAGCUAAAGACUUUACCUGAAUCGCUGAGAGGAGGUGCAUGGCCGUCGUCAGUUCGUACUGUGAAGCAUCCUGUUAAGUCAGG